rnacentral:lncRNA from 1 species
AUAAUUUACAAUUCCUAGAGUCUGAUGUUGCUGAGAUAAUAUCAGCCAACACUUCGACAAGCAAUUCUCCAAUUAGAACCAUGGAGUUCCCAGUUGAACCUUAAUUUUCCAUUCGACACCUCAGGAUUUUCUACAUAAUCAUAAAUUUGAUGUUGCAGAAGAGGAAAAUAAAUAGAAGAUAACGUGAUUCUGUACCACAGUAUUUGAUCCUUGUCGCAUUAAAAACCAGAGACAUUCUUGUAAAAAUUAGUUAUAGUCUCAAAAUGCUAGCAGAUAAAUUAGGAAGUAAAAAUCUAUUUAUUAAAACUUCUGCAGUCUAAUUUUCAUUUACAGCUGCUCAUUCAGUUUCUUCAAAAUCAACUAGUGAAAUUUAGCAUAACCUAGUAAGGAAGGUUAGCAAUUCGAAUCAAAAGGGUUCAUACAGAUGAAGGAAACCUGUGCAGGUUCACAGCUAAUUAACAAGAACAGAGCAUUAGAAUUAACGGUUCACAAGGAUUAAAGAACCUUUACAAUCAAUAUUAGAGAGGGUUUGACUAAGCUCAAAAAUUUUAACCAUAAAUAACACUAAGUAAUUUUAUAGUGAUCAAUUGAAAACAAUUAAAUUACUUAUUUUGACAUUAUGAAAAGAGGUAAUUCGAUAAGCUUAGUGACUUAUUUCUAUUAUAAGGAAGAAAGAAGUUCAAAUUCGUCUUUAUUGAAAAAUCGAAGAAAAAGUCCUUUCAUUAAAAGUCAGAAAAACUCGCCUAUGCUUUCUUUGUGGGUGCAUCUUGGCCAUGCGCCAUGCAGGAAAAGUUGAAGCAACGUCUUCAGUAUCUGUUGAUGGAAGUUCUUACAGUGGGGAUUUGAAGAACAAUAUGAAUCAGCAGGAACAUAAAGAUACACCAAAGCAAAGGUAAAUUUACUUAAGAUACACUUUCUGCAAUUAAUGUUUCUUGGCAAUUAGUUAUAAGAAUUUUCGUCUGAUAUUUCCUGCCAAAUCUGUUGUCGACUGGUAACGCAGAAAACAGUUGCAUACAUGGACAGAACUAGUGAGAAUUAACUCGGAAAAUGGGCUUGAAGGACCUACAGAUGAUGGGUAUAAUUGGAGAAAGUACGGGCAGAAGGGCAUUCUGGGAGCUAAAUAUCCCAGGUAUAGUGUGCCAAAUGCACCCUUAUUCUGCAUAGAAGAGACCAAAGCCACCCAUUAACUAGUUAACCAUGUCUGUCCACACACACACACACACAAAGAACAAAAGUAAAGAAAGUGUAAACAAAUCUUUAACAGGUAUAUUUAUAUUUGCAGAAGCUACUAUAGAUGUAAAUACCGUCAUCUUCAAAACUGUUCCGCAACAAAGCAAGUGCAGGGAUCUGAUGAUGAUCCUACAACAUUUGAGAUAACAUACAAAGGAACACAUACGUGUAAGCAUUCUGCGAAUGGAGUUCCACAGCCAGCAUCAAUUGGAAAACAAGAAUUAAGACAUAAUUCUCACAAACAUCAAUCACAAACGAACCAGAUGCUUUUAAACAUCCGAGCAGAUCACAGAGUCCAAACUGAGGACUUGGAGAAAACCGAGAAGCCAUCUGUGUCCUCAUUUCCCUCAACAUUUGGAUGCUUAGGAGAAAAUUCUACGUUCCUGAUCUCUACGCUUGUUGAUGACAAUCACUUCGAUUCUUAUUCUCAAUUCAUGUCAGAAUCAAAUUACUUACCCUACCAGAGGAGCAGCUUUGAGGGUGAUCAUAAUUUACAAUUCCUAGAGUCUGAUGUUGCUGAGAUAAUAUCAGCCAACACUUCGACAAGCAAUUCUCCAAUUAGAACCAUGGAGUUCCCAGUUGAACCUUAAUUUUCCAUUCGACACCUCAGGAUUUUCUACAUAAUCAUAAAUUUGAUGUUGCAGAAGAGGAAAAUAAAUAGAAGAUAACGUGAUUCUGUACCACAGUAUUUGAUCCUUGUCGCAUUAAAAACCAGAGACAUUCUUGUAAAAAUUAGUUAUAGUCUCAAAAUGCU